GACGAACGCUGGCGGCGUGCUUAACACAUGCAAGUCGAACGAUGAAGCGCCUUCCUUUUUGGUGGGUCUUGAUGAGUGGCGGACUGGUUAAUAAGACGUUAGUAUCCUUCUCCGUUCUUCUGGAUAACCGCAUGCAAGUGUUGCUACUACGGGAUAUUCUGGAUCUCUUGCAUGAUGGGUCUGAGAUAGCUUUUGUUUCGGUGAUGGAUGGGCUCGCGGCGUAUGAGCUUGUUGGUGGGGUGAUGGCCUACCAAGGCGGUGACGGGUAGCCGGCCUGAGAGGGUGGACGGUCACACGGGGACUGAGACGCGGAGCAGACUACUACGGGAGGCAGCAGGGGGGAAUACGGAACGAGGGGAGGAAGGAUGAUGCAGCGACGCCGCGGGAGGGAAGGAGGCCGUAGGGUUGUGAACCGCUUUCGCGAGUGAAGCAGGCCGGACGUGUGUGUGGGUGGGUUGACGGUAGCUGGACAAGAAGCGCCGGCUAACUACGUG
rnacentral:rRNA from 1 species